rnacentral:rRNA from 1 species
AGUGAACGCUGGCGGUAGGCCUAACACAUGCGAGUCGAACGGCAGCACAGUAAGAGCUUGCUCUUACGGGUGGCGAGUGGCGGACGGGUGAGGAAUACAUCGGAAUCUACUUUUUCGUGGGGGAUAACGUAGGGAAACUUACGCUAAUACCGCAUACGACCUACGGGUGAAAGCAGGGGAUCUUCGGACCUUGCGCGAUUGAAUGAGCCGAUGUCGGAUUAGCUAGUUGGCGGGGUAAAGGCCCACCAAGGCGACGAUCCGUAGCUGGUCUGAGAGGAUGAUCAGCCACACUGGAACUGAGACACGGUCCAGACUCCUACGGGAGGUAGCAGUGGGGAAUAUUGGACAAUGGGCGCAAGCCUGAUCCAGCCGUACUGCGUGGGUGAAGAAGGCCUUCGGGUUGUAAAGCCCUUUUGUUGGGAAAGAAAAGCAGCAGGUUAAUACCCCGCUGUUCUGACGGUACCCAAAGAAUAAGCACCGGCUAACUUCGUG